rnacentral:rRNA from 1 species
UAAUACGAAGGGGGCUAGCGUUGUUCGGAAUUACUGGGCGUAAAGCGCAUGCAGGCGGAUCGCUAAGUCAGGGGUGAAAGCCCGAGGCUCAACCUCGGAACUGCCUUUGAUACUGGCGAUCUUGAGUCCGGGAGAGGUGAGUGGAACUCCGAGUGUAGAGGUGAAAUUCGUAGAUAUUCGGAAGAACACCAGUGGCGAAGGCGGCUCACUGGCCCGGUACUGACGCUGAGAUGCGAAAGCGUGGGGAGCAAACAGGAUUAGAUACCCUGGUAGUCCACGCCGUAAACGAUGGGUGCUAGCCGUCAGCCAGCAUGCUGGUUGGUGGCGCAGCUAACGCAUUAAGCACCCCGCCUGGGGAGUACGAUCGCAAGAUUA